CAAAAUCUUUACUCAACCCGGUGGUUAUUUGUUUAUGUCAACAAAGCGGACAGGCAGCUGAGUCCGCCGAAGCCUGAUGCAGCCGAAAUUAAAAGACUGCGCCGACUAAAGCUGAGUUUCGGGAAGGGAAGAGAUACGGGACAAGACGUGAAGACUGAGAGAAAAGAAGAGGUGAUGGAGAGAGGAUGAGAGAUGAAGAGCAGGCCUGCAGCCUACAUUACUGAUUCACGUACGUGAUCCACAACUUCCCAGAGGACAUGCAAGGAGCCAGGGAAUGUGUCCUUGUUACUCACCAAGCAAAGACUGUUAUGUUCUUGUAACAGGAAGCCGUGAGCUAAGACAUCUACUGGCUUGCCUUUACAAAAUCCUUAGGCUUUCUCAAAGAAAGAGGUAACAAAAGAAACAGGGCAGAAUCAAAACUGUAGGACAGUACUAAAUAUGUGUCAACAGUGGUAUUCACAUCUCCUGAGGUCAUGAUGAUUUUUUAAAAAUCUUUUUUUUGUAUCUUGUAUAUAUAAUUUAUUGCUUCUAACCAGUUCAGUAUAUCAUAAUUCACUUUUCAAACAAUUAUAGUCAAAGUCAUUUGCUGAGUCAGGCCACAUCAAAAUACAAAUGACAGCUUUCACUAUGUGUCAAAACUUCUUCCACACAAAGUAAUGGAAAAGCUGUUAUAAAAUAUUCUUAUGGGAGAGAUUCUUAUGAUAUGACAGAGUGUAAUUGAUCACGUCCCUGUGGCUCUCUCCUGUCUAAGCUCCAUAUGUGUCUUAAGAUGAGACAGGGUCAAGGCCAGGGACAACUGCAAGGCGCUUGUUAAGUGUCGGAGGCUCGUGCCGCUGGGACCUCUGAGCCAUUCCUGGCAUCUUGCUCGAGCAGGCCCCCUGCAGCACGCCUGGGGGGUCCUUUCCCAUGCUGUCCCUCUCAUCCAUUGCCGCCGUCAUAUUAUGUCUAGGCCUCUCCAUGCUCCAAGCUCAAGAGACUCUUGAUUGUAUAGAAACCAAAAAUAAACAAAUCAACAAAACAAAAGGGGAAAGGUGGACAAAGAGAGAGCAGGCUGCAUCAAUCUCAAAGGCUGUCAGCCUUUGAGAUUUGGAAUGAUUCCACUCACCAACGCUUAGCCACACACCCUGUGUAUAUCUGUGACACUGUCAUCUAAACUCUGACUGAACAUGUAGUGUCUGUACUGCGAUGAUACUAAAUAACUCAGAUACCUUAGGAGGCAUUAGAUCAUCAACACAUCCUUUUAUCAUGUCUGUUUCGAUAAUAGAAAUAUGAUGUACCAGUUUUUUAGUGUGCCAAAUGUUAAAAUAAAAACAAACACUAAAUUUCUGACUUGUAACAAGGUAAUAGGGAGUUUCUGUAUAAUGUUUUCAUGAGACGAUAUGUAUUAAUAUGUUCCAUUGUUUUAAAGUUUUGCUACUGGGCUUCAAUAGGCUUUUGUAAGCCCUGUUUUUGCAGACAUGCUGAAACAGGACAUAAAUUAUCAGCCAUGGAAAUCACACAAGAACAGGUUUCGUAUCAUUGACACACAAAAAUAAAUACUUCAUCUCCUAGCAGAUAGCAUCUAGUUAUAAAUAUGAUUAUUGAUACGACAGGAUUCAGUGCAAAAACAGCUGGAUGUGUUGUCUCUGCUCACACUUUUCGACGGAGUAUCUGUCCUUCAUCUGUGAACAAAAUAAUUCAAUCCCACAAGAUGAUUAUAAAUGUUCUGAUGUCAUCACAGAAAUUGUCACUGAGACACUGCAGUGUUGUGGCUAUAUCCAAGGAAAUACAGCAACAUCUCAUAGAGAUCUUGAUGAAGUUGUGAGUAGCGCAAGGUACAAGAUUUAUUCCAGAGAAAAGGUCUUUAAAUGUAGAUUAUUUAAACACAGUAUUUUGUAAUUACUUAAGAAAAAGAAAGAUUUUCUAGGGUCAAAGUGUUUUGUUUUUUUAAAUGUCGGGAGGUCAAAGGUGGUCAGGAUUAAGAGUUCGGGUAUAGGAGCCGUCCUUUAUGUAGUUUAAGCACAAGCAUUCACAGCAUACAAUUUGCCUCUUUAAUCUCCUGAUGAUAGAUGACUUGACGUUCAAUAAUCCAUUAAAAAAGCUUUGUUGAGCACAACUCAGCUAUGUGGGCCAACAGAGAAUAAAUUGUGUGCAAAUUGUCUGCAUUAGUGAUGGUAUGAUUCUAAAGUUUUUGAAUGAAGUGAUGGGAAGAGAUAUUUUUAUACUUUUUUGUCAAACCUUGUUCUAUACACAACUGUGUCAUUAACACUGUUUUCUACAGCCUGUUUAUUUGACACAUAGGUGUCAUGGAAGAUUUACUGGCUAUACAACAGAGCCAUAAACUCAAUGUUAGCUUCAGAGAAUGUCAGUCCUGAAAACACCCAACCAUCUGUAGGACUAUGUAAAGCCCCAAUAAAACCAAUGAGUUAUUGUGAGGAUUUAUUAUUAUGUAGAGGUAGAUAGUUUCAGGUCAAACUCCUGCUUCAGCUGGAUGCUACACAGAGUGUGGAAUCUUUAAUGAGGGGUUAUCAUGCUCCAUGUUUGUUACCAAUGCAGCACACCUGGUAAAGACCACUCCUACUCAUAUUGCAAGCCUACCAUUAUUGGACACCUGCUGUUGUUCUUGUUUUGGAAUGACUCACGAGCCACACAUCAAUGAAGGGCAUGAGGAAUUAAUGAGAAAAGGGAAGGAGGGCAUCCUGGCUGUUGGCACAUUCACAUCUGGCCGUAAAUUUUUAGAAUUACUGACACAUGAGAGCAUUGUGCAUUGUGCUUCUGAUGAUUGUCAUCAGUGCAGAUAAAUUGUAUAACAGCGGAUAUGGACAAGUGUUUUUUUACAAUGUUGUUUACAGCCUAUAUAUACACAAUAGAUCCAG